UUCUCAUCAGGGUGCCAACAGUCAACCCCAAUAAAUCUACAAAUGUAUCCUUCAGUGUUGUUGUUAAAGUCCCACGAAGACUUCAGGUAAUUAAAAGGAUCUUCAAGUGAGGCUUUUAUACUCUUCAAGCAAGCAACAUCAGUCUCAGUACAACUGCUCAAACUACAGCUAAGCAACAACCAGAGGCCAUAGCUAGUUAAAAUCUUCAGAAAAUGUCUACCCAACACCAUGUUCACGAAGAUAGCC
rnacentral:misc_RNA from 1 species